rnacentral:rRNA from 1 species
AGAGCGAACGCUGGCGGCAGGCCUAAUACAUGCAAGUCGAACGGAUCCUUCGGGAUUAGUGGCGGACGGGUGAGUAACACGUGGGAACGUACCCUUUGGUUCGGAACAACUCAGGGAAACUUGAGCUAAUACCGAAUGUGCCCUUCGGGGAAAAGAUUUAUCGCCAUUGGAGCGGCCCGCGUCUGAUUAGCUAGUUGGUAGGGUAAAGGCCUACCAAGGCUACGAUCAGUAGCUGGUCUGAGAGGAUGAUCAGCCACACUGGGACUGAGACACGGCCCAGACUCCUACGGGAGGCAGCAGUAGGGAAUCUUGCGCAAUGGGCGAAAGCCUGACGCAGCCAUGCCGCGUGAAUGAUGAAGGUCUUAGGAUUGUAAAAUUCUUUCAGCGGGGACGAUAAUGACGGUACCCGCAGAAGAACGCCCGGCUAACUUCGUGCCAGCAGCCGC